UAGGAUCCAAUUAGCUUGAGGAAAACGUUCACUCUUGCUUAUGUGAAGCUUGGGUAAGGUUGAAAAUAGAUAAUUGGAGCUUGAAAUUGUGAAUACUGGAACUUGGAGGAAGCGGAUUAGUUGAGGUUUUGAGGGCUGUGUUCUUUUAGGAAAAUUUUCUUGGAAUAAUACUUGGGAAUCGGCUAAGAUGCAGGUCGAGAGGCAUCUCGUUAGGCAUCUGGACCCUUGAAGCGGAGUGGUUACAGGGUUAUUUUGUUAUGCUAUGAUGUGUAUAUAUAUACUUGGUUUUCUCUCCGCAUAACUUAUUCUUUUGAUCCUCCUAGAGGUUUAUGGAGAGGUAGGAUUGUGUAUAUGUACUUUUG